UACGAAGGGGGCUAGCGUUGUUCGGAAUUACUGGGCGUAAAGCGCACGUAGGCGGAUAUUUAAGUCAGGGGUGAAAUCCCAGAGCUCAACUCUGGAACUGCCUUUGAUACUGGGUAUCUUGAGUAUGGAAGAGGUAAGUGGAAUUGCGAGUGUAGAGGUGAAAUUCGUAGAUAUUCGCAGGAACACCAGUGGCGAAGGCGGCUAACUGGUCCGGUUCUGACGCUGAGGCGCGAAAGCGUGGGGAGCAAACAGG
rnacentral:rRNA from 1 species